rnacentral:sRNA from 1 species
ACGCAUAACUCUGCUCGAGUCGGGUGUCGAUCCCCCAUCAUAGGUAGCCAACCAAGCCAAUUUCAAUUGUACUUAGCUUCUCGACCACGCUUCCCACAUAUAAUAAUAUAUAAGAGACCAGUUUAAAAGUCAUAUUAGUUAGCCUUUUAAUCUCUUGCGUUUGUCUGUUAUAUUCUUAUAGCUCAUUAUGUUUGUUAACAUCACUAUAUAAAUAAAAUGAUUCAUGCUACUAGUAUUAUCUUUUUUUCUUCAGUUUUUACUUUACUGUUACAUGUUUGGUUAAAUGCAUUCGCAGAAAUGAUGCGUUUCGGGGAUAGAUUAUUCUACAAGGACUGGUGGAACGCGUCAUCAUACUCCCAUUAUUUCAAAACAUGGAAUAUUGUGGUACAAGAUUGGAUCUAUUUCUAUUUAUACCGAGAUUUUUUACGGUUGACUAAAUGUAAAGCAGGAGCAAGAUUGAUAGUGUUCUUCAUCUCAGCUUUCUUUCAUGAAUACGCCAUAUCGGUUGCAGUCAAGUGCAUCUACCCUUGUUGUUUUAUUUGCUUUGCCGGAAUUAGUUGUAAGUACAAGUGUUGUUAAUGUUGAAAUUGUGUCCAUUGGGUGAAUCUUGAUCCUGGCAGUACGUGAGAAUGCCUAUUAGCUUGUAGAUAGGAUAAGA